GAUGAACGCUGGCGGCGUGCCUAAUACAUGCAAGUCGAGCGAACGGACGAGAAGCUUGCUUCUCUGAUGUUAGCGGCGGACGGGUGAGUAACACGUGGAUAACCUACCUAUAAGACUGGGAUAACUUCGGGAAACCGUAGCUAAUACCGGAUAAUAUUUUGAACCGCAUGGUUCAAAAGUGAAAGACGGUCUUGCUGUCACUUAUAGAUGGAUCCGCGCUGCAUUAGCUAGUUGGUAAGGUAACGGCUUACCAAGGCAACGAUGCAUAGCCGACCUGAGAGGGUGAUCGGCCACACUGGAACUGAGACACGGUCCAGACUCCUACGGGAGGCAGCAGUAGGGAAUCUUCCGCAAUGGGGGAAAGCCUGACGGAGCAAAGCCGCGUGAGUGAUGAAGGUCUUCGGAUCGUAAAACUCUGUUAUUAGGGAAGAACAUAUGUGUAAGUAACUGUGCACAUCUUGACGGUACCUAAUCAGAAAGCCACGGCUAACUACGUG
rnacentral:rRNA from 1 species